UUUCUGAUAGAAAACAUAAAAUAUCAUCCCCUUGGAGAGUUGACUUUGCUCCAUGCAGUUCCCACCUUUAUGGUGCUAUGGACUCCAGAUGUCAGCUGUAGUUUUUCUCCAUUUUUUGACAGCGUGAAGAACAAGAAAAACAACACCCAACCUCUGAUAAUCUGAUUAAAGAAUGCCACAUCAGUCACACAUCAGACAUGCCAGAAGAAGGAUCCAAAAAGAAAUACAGUUGAUCCUUGAACAACACAGGUUUUAGCUGCAUAGAUCCAUUUAUAUGGAAAUUUUCUUCUGUCUCUGCCACCCAAGACAGCAAGACCAACCCCUCCUCUUCCUCCUUCCUCCUCAGCCUACUUAACAUAAAGUCAAUGAGGAUGAAGACCUUUAUGAUAUUCUACUUAAUGAAUAGUCAAUAUAUUUUCUCUUUUUUAUACUUUUCUUAAUAACAUUUUUUUCUCUAGCUUGUUAAGAAUAUAGUACAUACUAUAUGUAACAAAAAAUAUGUGUUGACUGUUUAUGUUAUCUGUAAGGCUUCUGGUCAAGAAUAGGCUAUCAGUAAUUAAGUUUUUGGGGAGUCGAAAACUAUAUGCAGAUUUUCAGCUGCUAGGGGUCAGCAGCCCUAAUCCCUACAUUGUUCAAGGGUCAACUUGAAGAAAAAGAUUCUGCUUUGAAACUAGCAAGUAUAUAUCUAAUAGAUGUUAGCAGGUUCACAUAGAGGAGGCAGAUGUGCCUUACUUAGAACAUGUCUCCUAUGUCCAUCCUUCUGGUCCCAAGCUCCCUUCCUUUAGGAAGAGCCUGGGAUGGCGCAUAGAAGCAACAACUGCUGGAUAGAGAAGAUGGAGAUUCUCCAGGGCCAGUAGCCAGGUUAAUCAGGG